rnacentral:rRNA from 1 species
UACGAAGGGGGCUAGCGUUGCUCGGAAUCACUGGGCGUAAAGCGCACGUAGGCGGAUUGCUAAGUCAGGGGUGAAAUCCUGGAGCUCAACUCCAGAACUGCCUUUGAUACUGGCGACCUUGAGUCCGGGAGAGGUGAGUGGAACUGCGAGUGUAGAGGUGAAAUUCGUAGAUAUUAGGAAGAACACCAGUGGCGAAGGCGGCUCACUGGAUCGGUACUGACGCUGAGGUGCGAAAGCGUGGGGAGCAAACAGG